CAUCUUUUCUUGUUAGUUUUUGAAGUAUGGCCUGCCCACUGACUUAGAGUUGAAGGGCCGCGGUAUUUUGACCGUGCAAAGGUAGCAUAAUCAUUAGUUCUUUAAUUGUGAUCUGGUAUGAAUGGCUUGACGAGACAUAAGCUGUCUUAGGGGUAUUGGUUUAUUGAAUUUGGUUUUUGAGUUAAAAUUCUUAAAUGUUUUUAUGGGACGAGAAGACCCUAUAGAGUUUGACAAUUUUCCUAUUUAUUCGUUGUUUGUUUUAUUUACAUUGAGUGGGAGUGAAUUGUUUUGUUGGGGUGAUGGGAGGAAUAUUGUUUAACUCCUCUUUAUUUUUAUAUAUUUAUGUAUAUAUUUUUGAUCCAUUUAUUUUGAUUAUAAGAUUAAAUUACCUUA
rnacentral:rRNA from 1 species